GAUUUGGACAAUUAUUUUAAAUAUUCCGAGAGCAUUGUUUAAAAUAUAAGUCUAUAAAUUCAUAGCUUUUUAUCUAUUUAAUUUAAAAAGUGUAUAAAAGCAAAAAAUUAUUAAGCAGUUUUUAUAAAAAAUCACUUUCCCUCCCCCUCCUUUGGUCUUAAUAAGGAGGGGGAGGGGUGUGAAGCUGCGGAGUUUGCUGUACGUGGCGGAGAUAGUGUAACAAAUACUUCAGACGAUUUCUUAGGGAUUUCCCCUCCCCCACCUUAUAGUCUAAAAUAAAAAGGGGGAAGGGUGUGAAGCUGCACAGUUGCUGUACGCGGCGAACAUGGUGUAUCAAAUAUUUCUGAUGAUUUUUGAAAGCUUUCCUCGCUCUCCUUUGGCUUAAGAUAAGGAGAGCGUGGGUAUAAAACUGCGCAGUGGCUGUACGCGGCAAACAUGGCGUAUCAAAUAUUUCUCACAAUUUUUAAAGUUCCUCGGUGCCCACACCUUCGGCGCCUGACGGACGUUCCCGUACGUGUUGGAAGUUUUCAGAUAAAGCAGUUAUUUAAUUCUGAAGCGACUUUGUAACUAGUAUAAUACGCGCAAUCUAAAUACCGGACCUGAAGUUUGUCUCUCUAUGAUAUCUUUCCAUCACUUAAUUUCAGACCUGCCAACUUAGACCGCGCGUAUUGUAAUUAAGAUAAUUUUAAUGUUGCUUUGUUAUAUACAUAUAUUGCCAUUUAUUUAACAAAGCAACCGGCUAGUGCUAGUGGAAGUUACUAUGUAUAAUGUACCUAUAGAUCAGGACGAUUGGGCAGUUUACACUUUAAAGACCUUGUACCUAAUUUAAUGGUUAUGCGUUAUCGAUAAAUGUUUGAAAUCAAAACUCUAUGAAGCGAUUAAACAUUAAUUAUUAUUCUAGUUAAGGUUAGCUCAAUGUUGGUUUGUUACAUAUAUGCAAAUAUUUAACAAAACAACCGGCUAUAAUUACUGUAUGUUACUAAUUCCGUAGUAUUUUAAUCAGUAGCUUAUGGUCCUUGUGUAAUCGGGACAAAAAAAAAUAAAAA